AUUCCAGCUCCAAUAGCGUAUACUAAAGUUGUUGCAGUUAAAAAGCUCGUAGUUGAAUUUCUGGUCGUGGCGAUCGGUCCGCCCCUCACGGGGUGUGCACCUGGUCUCUACGUCCAUCCUCGGGGAGAGCGCGCCUGGCAUUCAGUUGUCGGGCGUGGGAUCCUCGUCAUUUACUGUGAGCAAAAUAGAGUGUUCAAAGCAGGCUUAGGCCGUUGAAUACAUUAGCAUGGAAUAAUAAGAUAGGACCUUGGUCUAUUUUGUUGGUUUGCAUUCCAAGGUAAUGAUUAAUAGGGAUAGUUGGGGGUAUUCGUAUUCAAUUGUCAGAGGUGAAAUUCUUGGAUUUAUGGAAGACGAACUACUGCGAAAGCAUUUACCAAGGAUGUUUUCAUUA
rnacentral:rRNA from 1 species